ensembl:lncRNA
AUGCUCAGUGUCACUCCUGGCUGCUUUACCUGCCCAGAGCAGUGCAGGGAGAAUCAGGGAAUGGUUGUGGUCAGUACAGAGCAGUUUCUCUUCACCACUUGGCUUUCUCAAGCUUUCCCCCUGCUCUGCCUUGGGACAUCUCCUCCUCCUCUGACCUUGGUGUUCCCUGUGUUGUUCCCUUCUCUGUGCAGCAUUUUGCCCUUUCUUAAAUCCAUUUUCCCAGAGAUGAGGUGCCGCCAUCUUGGCUGCGGGGCCCGGCUGUGCCCUGCGGUGGGGCCGUUGGGGCCGGCUGGGGCCAGCAUCGGGCAGGCCCGGCAUCGCCUCAUGCAGCGGCCACACAGCACCCACUGCCAGCACCUGGGCACCUGCACCCAGCACAGCUACAUAAGGAUAGGAAGACUUUUAGGACUGGUUGUGUAGCCACUUGGAGGAACACUGUUGACUGUUACGGUGUGAAGUGCCAGAGAGGAUCUGUGAAGAAGCACGGAGCAGGCAUCUAAAAGCGUGGCUCUUUGUAAGUCAAUCUUUCUUUUUAGAUAUCGUUGAGAAUCACUCGGGCCAUCCAUAAACCCAGACAGGAAAAGGCUAGUGCUAGCACACAAAUUUAAACUUGCACAGCAUUAAGACUAAAGCCCAAGUGUGAAGUAUUUAUGAUGAACUUUACCUGAAUUGAUUUUACUUGUAAUUGUCAAGAUUUUCUUACUUCUUCUUUCUCUCUACCCCUGCUGAAAUACUUCAAAAAAGAUUAAAUAUGCAGUCCCUGGCUUUCAUAGCCAGUAGGAAGUUUUUAUCAUCACCUAAAAUGUGAGCACUAUUUAUUGCAAGCAGUUAGGCCAAAUUAAUCCCUAGUUUUAGGUAAUGAAUCCCUAGUUUUAGGGAUUUUAUUGUUUCCUAAAUUGAAGCAUAGGUACCUUGGAUUUUUUUCUGUAGUCUGUGGAAAUAAGCAGGCACAAAUAGCUGCUGCAGGAAAAUAUGCAUCAUCCUCAGCAAUCUAAUGGGUAUAAAACUGGCCCAAGAAUUUCCCUCCUAACUUGGACACCAGAGUUAAACACACAGACAGGAUGAACCUUGACUGUCCCAAUCUGCCCUUCAUGCCUGUAUUCUUCAACUCUCCAGUCUGCUCUUUCAGAUUAAUGCUUGUGUGUUGAUCCAUGUUUAUACAGAGACCAGCUGCUUUGACAGGGCACAAGGCUUUGAUUAGCCUUCGACAGGACUGAUUACAGGGACAGGAUAUAUAUGUACAUAUGUAUAUAUGCUUCUGCACAGCAAAACUCAUGCAAGUAGCUACUUAUGUAAAUGGUACAAAGAAGGAUCAAGUUCUACACUAGAAGGUGCUUCCAGUGUUUUUCCAGCCAAUUUGUCCUUCCUGUCUCUGCUAUUUUAAGAACUUGCAGUAGAAGGAGCACUUGAUUUCUCUUAUCUCUUCUAUACAGGCUAUAAUUAGGAUUAGCAGAAGUGUUUUACUUAAUGUUGCAGUAGUUCUUGUGUACAGCACUCAUAUUAAGUAUAAUUAACACUGUAUAGCUCCCAUUAGUGUUUUUAAGCACUUAAAAUGUACCAUAAUGGCCAAAGCUAAAGUUGUCAUUAAAGGGCCAUUGCUAUUUAUUAUGCUCAUAAAGUAGACACUUUGCUACAGAAAAAUAUAUUGUUCAGUUCCAUUUAGAAAGCAGUAACAGACAGCAGCAUUAGUGAUGGCACCCAUGGGAUUAAAGGACCGCUCUAUAUUGAUCCCAUUCUUAUUUCACACAGGAGUCAAUAGGGAAAUCUAAAAGCAGGUGACAAAUCAUUGCAUUGCACAGCAUAAUUCUGAUUAGAUGAGUUAUGCCGGUGAGCAAGUUUGUUGUUUUUUUAUGGACAUUCCUUUCUGUUAAUGCUUGGCAUUUUUUUGCUGUCUGUAGUUUCCCUAUAAGUGCAUACUGUAUUUCAUAGUUCAGUUUUAUUACAUUUCAGCUUACAUAUUAUGUUGUUUUAAGCAAUUAUAAAAAGGAAGACAUUUUAUACCCUCUUCAUUAUAUUUUGGGAAAGAGGCCAACUACACUAUUAAUAAGAGGAUCUUGCAAAACUCUUUUCCUAAGCACUCUUGAUUAGAUACACAAAGCGCCAAGCAGGUUAGGUUUCUUAUUGCCACUGCUUCAUUUGGCCCACUUGGUGAUUGAGUUACACAGUUUAUAUAAGUCAUAUUUUCUCAUAUGCAAUAAUAAGACUCCCCUACUUCCAUAGCUCCUUCUCUCCAAAGAAGUUAAUAUUUGCCAACACUGCUUUGAGGAUACAUUUUAGUCACAGUCCAACUGUUGGAACAAAACAUGAACCAUUUAUAGCAGUAAACAAUUAUCACUGAAAUGAGAUAACAAUUUAAUGGUCUUGCAUGAUUAAUGUCCUACAUAAAUUCUUUAUGACACAGAAUUGAAAGAUGAUGUUAUGAAUGUAUAAUCGAAAGUCAACAGAACGUGUCACCUUUUGAUUAGUUUCUAAGGAAACAGGCCAUGCAAUCAGUGUUUUCAUAAUAAUCACAGAUUCAUAACAAAACCAUCAUAUACUGUCCUUACUAAAUUAAAAUUCCAAAGGUGCAGUUGUUGGCUUCUUUGGUUUUAGUGCCAAUUAUGCACACCAGAGAUCAAUCCAGUUAAUGGCAUCCCUAUAGUCUUUUUCAUGUUUGUGAUCCAGGGCCAACAUUUUCAAAUGUUGGUACCUACAUUUAAUUUAAAUCACCAUCUAUUUCUAGGCAUAUAAAUAAGUAGUCUGUUCUUCAUAAAUGCUUAUUAUUCACAGCUAAUUCUGACUUUGCCAUGUUGCUCCAAGGUGAAUAAAUAUGUGUUUAACAUCUUUGAAGAUCA